UUAAGCGACUAAGCGUACACGGUGGAUGCCCUGGCAGUCAGAGGCGAUGAAGGACGUGCUAAUCUGCGAUAAGCGUCGGUAAGGUGAUAUGAACCGUUAUAACCGGCGAUUUCCGAAUGGGGAAACCCAGUGUGAUUCGUCACACUAUCAUUAACUGAAUCCAUAGGUUAAUGAGGCGAACCGGGGGAACUGAAACAUCUAAGUACCCCGAGGAAAAGAAAUCAACCGAGAUUCCCCCAGUAGCGGCGAGCGAACGGGGAGCAGCCCAGAGCCUGAAUCAGUGUGUGUGUUAGUGGAAGCGUCUGGAAAGGCGCGCGAUACAGGGUGACAGCCCCGUACACAAAAAUGCACAUGCUGUGAGCUCGAUGAGUAGGGCGGGACACGUGGUAUCCUGUCUGAAUAUGGGGGGACCAUCCUCCAAGGCUAAAUACUCCUGACUGACCGAUAGUGAACCAGUACCGUGAGGGAAAGGCGAAAAGAACCCCGGCGAGGGGAGUGAAAAAGAACCUGAAACCGUGUACGUACAAGCAGUGGGAGCACGCUUAGGCGUGUGACUGCGUACCUUUUGUAUAAUGGGUCAGCGACUUAUAUUCUGUAGCAAGGUUAACCGAAUAGGGGAGCCGAAGGGAAACCGAGUCUUAACUGGGCGUUAAGUUGCAGGGUAUAGACCCGAAACCCGGUGAUCUAGCCAUGGGCAGGUUGAAGGUUGGGUAACACUAACUGGAGGACCGAACCGACUAAUGUUGAAAAAUUAGCGGAUGACUUGUGGCUGGGGGUGAAAGGCCAAUCAAACCGGGAGAUAGCUGGUUCUCCCCGAAAGCUAUUUAGGUAGCGCCUCGUGAAUUCAUCUCCGGGGGUAGAGCACUGUUUCGGCAAGGGGGUCAUCCCGACUUACCAACCCGAUGCAAACUGCGAAUACCGGAGAAUGUUAUCACGGGAGACACACGGCGGGUGCUAACGUCCGUCGUGAAGAGGGAAACAACCCAGACCGCCAGCUAAGGUCCCAAAGUCAUGGUUAAGUGGGAAACGAUGUGGGAAGGCCCAGACAGCCAGGAUGUUGGCUUAGAAGCAGCCAUCAUUUAAAGAAAGCGUAAUAGCUCACUGGUCGAGUCGGCCUGCGCGGAAGAUGUAACGGGGCUAAACCAUGCACCGAAGCUGCGGCAGCGACGCUGAUGCGUUGUUGGGUAGGGGAGCGUUCUGUAAGCCUGUGAAGGUGUGCUGUGAGGCAUGCUGGAGGUAUCAGAAGUGCGAAUGCUGACAUAAGUAACGAUAAAGCGGGUGAAAAGCCCGCUCGCCGGAAGACCAAGGGUUCCUGUCCAACGUUAAUCGGGGCAGGGUGAGUCGACCCCUAAGGCGAGGCCGAAAGGCGUAGUCGAUGGGAAACAGGUUAAUAUUCCUGUACUUGGUGUUACUGCGAAGGGGGGACGGAGAAGGCUAUGUUGGCCGGGCGACGGUUGUCCCGGUUUAAGCGUGUAGGCUGGUUUUCCAGGCAAAUCCGGAAAAUCAAGGCUGAGGCGUGAUGACGAGGCACUACGGUGCUGAAGCAACAAAUGCCCUGCUUCCAGGAAAAGCCUCUAAGCAUCAGGUAACAUCAAAUCGUACCCCAAACCGACACAGGUGGUCAGGUAGAGAAUACCAAGGCGCUUGAGAGAACUCGGGUGAAGGAACUAGGCAAAAUGGUGCCGUAACUUCGGGAGAAGGCACGCUGAUAUGUAGGUGAAGCGACUUGCUCGUGGAGCUGAAAUCAGUCGAAGAUACCAGCUGGCUGCAACUGUUUAUUAAAAACACAGCACUGUGCAAACACGAAAGUGGACGUAUACGGUGUGACGCCUGCCCGGUGCCGGAAGGUUAAUUGAUGGGGUCAGCGCAAGCGAAGCUCUUGAUCGAAGCCCCGGUAAACGGCGGCCGUAACUAUAACGGUCCUAAGGUAGCGAAAUUCCUUGUCGGGUAAGUUCCGACCUGCACGAAUGGCGUAAUGAUGGCCAGGCUGUCUCCACCCGAGACUCAGUGAAAUUGAACUCGCUGUGAAGAUGCAGUGUACCCGCGGCAAGACGGAAAGACCCCGUGAACCUUUACUAUAGCUUGACACUGAACAUUGAGCCUUGAUGUGUAGGAUAGGUGGGAGGCUUUGAAGUGUGGACGCCAGUCUGCAUGGAGCCGGCCUUGAAAUACCACCCUUUAAUGUUUGAUGUUCUAACGUUGACCCGUGAUCCGGGUUGCGGACAGUGUCUGGUGGGUAGUUUGACUGGGGCGGUCUCCUCCUAAAGAGUAACGGAGGAGCACGAAGGUUGGCUAAUCCUGGUCGGACAUCAGGAGGUUAGUGCAAUGGCAUAAGCCAGCUUGACUGCGAGCGUGACGGCGCGAGCAGGUGCGAAAGCAGGUCAUAGUGAUCCGGUGGUUCUGAAUGGAAGGGCCAUCGCUCAACGGAUAAAAGGUACUCCGGGGAUAACAGGCUGAUACCGCCCAAGAGUUCAUAUCGACGGCGGUGUUUGGCACCUCGAUGUCGGCUCAUCACAUCCUGGGGCUGAAGUAGGUCCCAAGGGUAUGGCUGUUCGCCAUUUAAAGUGGUACGCGAGCUGGGUUUAGAACGUCGUGAGACAGUUCGGUCCCUAUCUGCCGUGGGCGCUGGAGAACUGAGGGGGGCUGCUCCUAGUACGAGAGGACCGGAGUGGACGCAUCACUGGUGUUCGGGUUGUCAUGCCAAUGGCACUGCCCGGUAGCUAAAUGCGGAAGAGAUAAGUGCUGAAAGCAUCUAAGCACGAAACUUGCCCCGAGAUGAGUUCUCCCUGACUCCUUGAGAGUCCUGAAGGAACGUUGAAGACGACGACGUUGAUAGGCCGGGUGUGUAAGCGCAGCGAUGCGUUGAGCUAACCGGUACUAAUGAACCGUGAGGCUUAACCUU
rnacentral:rRNA from 1 species